rnacentral:rRNA from 1 species
GACGAACGCUGGCGGCGUGCCUAAUACAUGCAAGUCGAACGCUUCUUUCCUCCCGAGUGCUUGCACUCAAUUGGAAAGAGGAGUGGCGGACGGGUGAGUAACACGUGGGUAACCUACCCAUCAGAGGGGGAUAACACUUGGAAACAGGUGCUAAUACCGCAUAACAGUUUAUGCCGCAUGGCAUAAGAGUGAAAGGCGCUUUCGGGUGUCGCUGAUGGAUGGACCCGCGGUGCAUUAGCUAGUUGGGGAGGUAACGGCUCACCAAGGCCACGAUGCAUAGCCGACCUGAGAGGGUGAUCGGCCACACUGGGACUGAGACACGGCCCAGACUCCUACGGGAGGCAGCAGUAGGGAAUCUUCGGCAAUGGACGAAAGUCUGACCGAGCAACGCCGCGUGAGUGAAGAAGGUUUUCGGAUCGUAAAACUCUGUUGUUAGAGAAGAACAAGGACGUUAGUAACUGAACGUCCCCUGACGGUAUCUAACCAGAAAGCCACGGCUAACUACGUG